UCCGCGGCGCCCCCUCGGGGGCGCGGCGCGAUCGCUAGUCAGGUCCCUCCGGGGAAGCCUCGGUCUUCGAGGUCUGGCGACACUUUCGAAUUGCGGGAAAACCCUAAAGCCAUCUUCUACCAAGCUCCCGGGGAAACCUGGGGAGUGGCUCGUGCUAACCACACGAGGUACGGUAAAAAGGAAGGUGGAUAACGUCCUCACGGACUGCAGUGGGCGAUCCGCAGCCAAGCCCUAACGCGACCGCCUCCGGGCGGGCUAUGGGACGGGUUCACAGACUAAGUGGAAGUGGGUGGGACGUCGUCCUGCUUAAGAUAUAGUCGGGCCGCCGUGGAAACAUGGCG
rnacentral:ncRNA from 1 species